CUGAAGAAUCUGCACAAGAUGCCUUUGUGAACCAAGAACCGGCAAGCAGAUUUCUGAUCUUCCUAUUUGACAAAAAACACUUUCUGACUGCAGGAUCCCUUGGUCUGCCAAUGUUCUGUACAAUAUCUGCCAUUUCCGUACAUUUUUUCCAAGGAAAAAAUUCCUGCGCAAAAUAAAACUUUUCAGUGUGUCCCCACCUCCACC